AGCCUGUGAUGCUUUUAUAUAAGAGUAGUGGACAGAAUGGAUUUCUGAAAACUUCCAUUACUGAGGCU